rnacentral:tRNA from 1 species
AAGAGAGAUCUAGGAUAAAAAGAAUUGCUAACUCUUUUUUCCGUGGUUAAAAUCCACGGCUCACUUA